rnacentral:ribozyme from 1 species
GCCGUCUAGAUAUGCUGCCUCUACGUGGCAGAUAGCGAGCAACAGAGCGAAUGGAAAAAACGUUCUCUGGCUAGUACGAUAU